UGGGGAAUAUUGGACAAUGGGCGCAAGCCUGAUCCAGCCAUGCCGCGUGAGUGAUGAAGGCCCUAGGGUUGUAAAGCUCUUUCACCGGUGAAGAUAAUGACGGUAACCGGAGAAGAAGCCCCGGCUAACUUCGUGCCAGCAGCCGCGGUAAUACGAAGGGGGCUAGCGUUGUUCGGAUUUACUGGGCGUAAAGCGCACGUAGGCGGACUUUUAAGUCAGGGGUGAAAUCCCGGGGCUCAACCCCGGAACUGCCUUUGAUACUGGAAGUCUUGAGUAUGGUAGAGGUGAGUGGAAUUCCGAGUGUAGAGGUGAAAUUCGUAGAUAUUCGGAGGUACACCAGUGGCGAAGGCGGCUCACUGGACCAUUACUGACGCUGAGGUGCGAAAGCGUGGGGAGCAAACAGG
rnacentral:rRNA from 1 species